UUUUACUUUUAAGUGAAAAGGCUUAAAUAUACUGGGGGGACGAUAAGACCCUAUAAAACUUUACAAAUAUUGGUUGUACUUUUUAAAUUAAAGUUUAAAAUUAGUUAUUAUCUUAUUUGUUGUGUUGGGGCGACAAAGAUAUAAUUUAAAUAACUGUCAAUUUUAUUAAAUAGUGAUAAUUAGUGUAGUUGAUCCUUUAUUAGAGAUUAUAAGAUUAAGUUACUUUAGGGAUAACAGCGUAAU
rnacentral:rRNA from 1 species